rnacentral:misc_RNA from 1 species
UUCCAGCUGAUCGGCAUAGUAUUUUCGAGUAUUUAUUCUGCGGUAUUUUUUAUCGCGCUAGACCGAAGGUUCAGCGGAUUUCAUGUGCAGAGUCAGUCGGCAAGCGGUCACACCAACAGCCAGUCCAGAAAAUAGAAGAAAAAGAAACAAGAGAAGAAAACUAAAUUGGACGGUGCAGACGGAGAAGAGCCCCAAAACGCAGAGCAAGAAGCGAAGGAGUCAAAGUUAACCGAACAGCUAACCAGAGAACAACCGGAGAUCAGAGGCCCCAUCCAAGAUGUUUGCCAGCAAGUUGGUGAUAUGCACGGCACUUUUAAUGCUGAGUGGAUCAGUCCUCUCUCAGACUUUAUUAUCGUUGAAGGAUGCUAAGAUCGGGGAAGAACACCCACCACCAGAGACUACCACAACGUUUACUACCACAACCACAAAGCAAACGACGACGACCACCACAACUACCAGCAAGCCGCCAACUCCGGACACCACCACCACCACAACCACUCCAAAGACGACAUCCACACCAGCACCAACAACGAGCACCACACCCGCUCCGGUACCAACCACGACCCAUGCCCCCCAACCAUACCCAGAGCCAUCCGUGGGCACAUGGAAUGCCACGUGCAUUCUCCUCAAGAUGGCUGCUCAGUUCAACUUUACUUAUGAGACCAAAGAUGGAAAUUAUUCCCAUGGACUUCUCAAUGUUCCAAGCAACGCCACGAUCGGAGACCAUGUGUGCGAUACCAAGACUAUUCAGUCCAUCGAACUGAUCUGGGGCUCCAACACUUCGGUGGAAUCGAUCACCCUUCAGUUCACCAAGAAAAAUGAUACCGUUGUGAUGUCCCAGAUCCUGAUUCAUUUCACUGUGCCCGUCGAUGACUAUCCCGAUGCCAAGGAGGGCCAAACUAUUCAGAUGUUACAUAACAGCACUGGCGAUUUCAAGACGCCCGAAAAGAUGUCCUACCAUUGCACUCGGGCCCAAAAGUUGAACAUGACCGAGACUGUGGACUCGAAGAAGGAGAUUGGUUGGAUCAGCGUUAGCCAGGUCCAGGUGGAGGCUUUCCUUUCGAAGCAGGCCAACGGAUUCUCAACGGUGCACGAUUGUGACAGCUCCGAGACAUCGGACGUUGUGCCCAUUGCUGUCGGUAUCGCUCUGGCCGGCCUAAUUCUGGUUGUUCUCAUCUCGUAUCUGUGUGCCAGACGCCGUUCUAACGCGAGCGGCUACAUGAGCUUCUAAGGGAAGCGCAUCGGCCGUUUUAUUUUGGGGAUAGAUGGAUAUGAUGUGGGGCAGGAGAGAAAUGGAAAGAAAGUAAAGCGUUAGAGAGAAAAUUAAGAUUGAUUUUGAUAAUUGGAAGCAGUCUAAAACGCGCUGGAAAGAGCAGGUCUAAAAAACAAUGGGGCGGGGAAACAAUAGUCGAUGAUAUAUCAGAAGAAGUAUGAUCUGAAACUCUGUUUAUGUAUUUGUAACUGUCUGAAACUCUGUACUGUACAUUGAAAUUAGAUUACUCCGUCGUGUCUGUCACUCUGAAACCUUUCUCUUAAAAAUUACCAAUGAGGAGCCCAAAAUUUUAAACUUGUAAUAGAAGCACAUAAUAUUUUACUCAAAUAAAUCAAUCACGUAAUGUAA